rnacentral:rRNA from 1 species
AUGUGUCACCAGCAUGAUGAGUGUUUGCAGGGUGGCAUACAGUCAAAUAUGGUCGGGCGAGAUAGAUCAUACUAUGAUCGCGCUGAAGAAGGACGCAGUAGCUUCAGUGGCUCGGAGCUUGGAAGCCCAACAUCAUGCCAUUCUUGGGAUUACAUCUACCGGUUUAGCAAUCCUUAUUUCGGCUCAUCUUUAAGCCAUGCUUCUUGCUCUCCUGAGGCACAUGUAGCUAGGGAGGGUAAGAAGCAUGCCUCUGAUAGGUGGCCAAGUGCAUCUUCCAAUGAGAUUAUCCGGGAAAAGGUGCCGAUGCGAAGGAGCUUGAGCACGCUCGGUGAAAUGCUUGCCAUGUCUGAUAUGAAGAAAGAAGAUGUUGUUGAUCAGGUGGCCACUAAUGGCGGCAGCCAGUUGUGUGGCAACGAACAAAGAGUCGCCGUACCAUCUAAUUGCUCUGUUGAUGGUGCGGAAGGAGAAAGCUCCAGCAAUAAUAACAUUUCAAGGUCAAAAUCUGUUCCAGUCUCUUCAUCAGCCUUUGACAGCCUGCGUUUAGACGCUAGAUCUUCAGAUUCUCAACAUAGAGAAGCCACAGCCCCGAAGGAGGCGGCCAAGCCUAGGAAUGGGAAGUCAUCUCUCAAGGGAAAGAUUUCAAGCUUCUUCUCAAUGCGUAGGAAAGCCGGAAAAGAGAAGCUCAUCACAUCUCCCUCGGGGAGCUUGAAUGGCAGAGUUCCUGUGGACAGUGAUGUAGUGGUUGGUGUAUCACGGUCAGCUUGUACCGGCCUACAAGAGGAUGUUGCUUCAGAGAGUUUAGAAGAUAAGUAUCAGUAUGCGACAAUAGUACUUCCGGUCAAGGAAUCAGAGGCGCUUUCUUCUUCUAAGGCUCUGAUUUCUCUUGAGAAAACACACUCAUUUGAGAUUCGGAAUUCACAUUUUGAUGAGCCCAGUCCAACAUCAGUUCUCGACGCGCUGCUUGAGGAUAGGAACGAAAAGUCUGCCAGUUCAUCAGAAAGUGCAAUUACCGCUAAACAAGAACCUUUAUCAAGGUGUCUUCCGAUCGGAUCGGUCGCGCGGACGUUAUCAUGGGACGAAUCCUCCUCUGAAGAAGAGGCCGCGCCGUGCUCUAGCAAAGACGACGAUUCCCACGAGCAAGAGCGGUACGAAUUCGUCGAGAAGAUCCUGUCAUCCGCCGGCCUCUGCGCCGAGGCGACCGGCAACGUGUUCGCCCGGUGGCACUCGCUGGACAGCCCUCUGGCUCCAACCGUGCCCGACCAGUUCCUGGAGCGCAAGGUGGAGGACGCGAAAUGCAGGGAGCGGCGGUCGGGCCAGAGGCUGCUCAUCGACUCCGUCAACGCCGCGCUGCUCGGCAUCGGCCAGAGCACGCUCUGGAGCGCGUACCCUUGCGCCGCAGGGCCGGUCGUGGCCAGCGUGUCGCGGCGGGACGAGCCGGUGGGCGACGCGGCGUGGAGGCUGGUGAAAGGCUGGCUGGCCGACGGCGAGGCGUGCGACGGGCUGCCGGACAAUGUGGGCGUCGCGGCGGCGGACCGGGUCGUCGGCGAGGAGAUCGCGGGCAGGGGGUGGUCCGAGAUGCUGCGGCUGGAGGUGGACGACAUGGCGAGGGAGAUAUGCGGGGACGUCCUGGGCGAGGCCGUUGAGGAGGCGCUGUCGGAGCUCGCCGGCCGCCGUUGA